UACGUAGGGUGCGAGCGUUAAUCGGAAUUACUGGGCGUAAAGCGUGCGCAGGCGGUUUCGUAAGACAGAUGUGAAAUCCCCGGGCUUAACCUGGGAACCGCGUUUGUGACUGCGAGACUCGAGUGCGGCAGAGGGGGGUGGAAUUCCACGUGUAGCAGUGAAAUGCGUAGAGAUGUGGAGGAACACCGAUGGCGAAGGCAGCCCCCUGGGUUGAAAUUGACGCUCAUGCACGAAAGCGUGGGUAGCAAACACG
rnacentral:rRNA from 1 species